UACAGGCUUAACACAUGCAAGUCGAGGGGAAACGACAUCGAAAGCUUGCUUUUGAUGGGCGUCGACCGGCGCACGGGUGAGUAACGCGUAUCCAACCUGCCCACCACUUGGGGAUAACCUUGCGAAAGUAAGACUAAUACCCAAUGACGUCUCUAGAAGACAUCUGAAAGAGAUUAAAGAUUUAUCGGUGAUGGAUGGGGAUGCGUCUGAUUAGCUUGUUGGCGGGGUAACGGCCCACCAAGGCAACGAUCAGUAGGGGUUCUGAGAGGAAGGUCCCCCACAUUGGAACUGAGACACGGUCCAAACUCCUACGGGAGGCAACAGUGAGGAGUAUUGGUCAAUGGACGAGAGUCUGAACCAGCCAAGUAGCGUGCAGGAUGACGGCCCUAUGGGUUGUAAACUGCUUUUAUAAGGGAAUAAAGUGAGUCUCGUGAGACUUUUUGCAUGUACCUUAUGAAUAAGGACCGGCUAAUUCCGUGCCAGCAGCCGCGGUAAUACGGAAGGUCCGGGCGUUAUCCGGAUUUAUUGGGUUUAAAGGGAGCGUAGGCCGGAGAUUAAGCGUGUUGUGAAAUGUAGACGCUCAACGUCUGCACUGCAGCGCGAACUGGUUUCCUUGAGUACGCACAAAGUGGGCGGAAUUCGUGGUGUAGCGGUGAAAUGCUUAGAUAUCGCGAAGAACUCCGAUUGCGAAGGCAGCUCACUGGAGCGCAACUGACGCUGAAGCUCGAAAGUGCGGGUAUCGAACAGGAUUAGAUACCCUGGUAGUCCGCACGGUAAACGAUGGAUGCCCGCUGUUGGUCUGAAUAGGUCAGCGGCCAAGCGAAAGCAUUAAGCAUCCCACCUGGGGAGUACGCCGGCAACGGUGCAACUCAAAGGAAUUGACGGAAUCAGUAG
rnacentral:rRNA from 1 species